GACGAACGCUGGCGGCGUGCUUAACACAUGCAAGUCGAACGGAAAGGCCCUGCUUUUGUGGGGUGCUCGAGUGGCGAACGGGUGAGUAACACGUGAGUAACCUGCCCUUGACUUUGGGAUAACUUCAGGAAACUGGGGCUAAUACCGGAUAGGAGCUCCUGCUGCAUGGUGGGGGUUAGAAAGUUUCGGCGGUUGGGGAUGGACUCGCGGCUUAUCAGCUUGUUGGUGGGGUAGUGGCUUACCAAGGCUUUGACGGGUAGCCGGCCUGAGAGGGUGACCGGCCACAUUGGGACUGAGAUACGGCCCAGACUCCUACGGGAGGCAGCAGUGGGGAAUAUUGCACAAUGGGCGGAAGCCUGAUGCAGAAACGCCGCGUGCGGGAUGACGGCCUUCGGGUUGUAAACCGCUUUCGCCUGUGACGAAGCGUGAGUGACGGUAAUGGGUAAAGAAGCACCGGCUAACUACGUG
rnacentral:rRNA from 1 species